rnacentral:tRNA from 1 species
GAUUCUGCGGCUUAGUUGGUUAAAGCGCCGGUCUAGCGAAUACGGAGUCGUGGGUUCAAAUCCCACCAGAACG